GUGAGGGGCUGUGGUUGUUCUGGUCUCUGGUCAUUCUGGUCAUUCCACCAUUUCAGUUGCCGGGCUUUUAUUAUCAGAUCCAUGUGUGUGAUCAUCACUGUAUUGUCUGAGCAACGAAGGCGAGAACUUCCCCGUAUUAAUAGUAUAUCAUUUCCCCAGGGCUUAGAACAGAGCCCGAUACAAAGAGGGUGCUCCCUAAGGGGUGAGUGGAGAGACUGACUGACCACCGGAAUGAAUAUUAGUUGAUUCUGGAGCAGUCACGGGAAAGCCCAGGGCUGGAGAGUUUAUAGCAGAGGACGAGGGGGAGGAGGCCUGGGCUGGAAUCCAGAGGCCCGGGUUCUGUUACUGAAUGUGCAGGGUCAGAGGAAAACUGUGAGAAUAGGUGGGGCGAGGAGCGUGGGAGAGUGGCGGGGGCAGGGAGCUGCAUGGAGAGGCCCUGCAGCAGGAGGACGGGGGGUGACGUGGCAGAGGUGGGAAGGCCCAGGUGUGAAUUCAGAGGUCACAGACUAGAGACCCAAAGGCUUGUCUGCUUUGGCCUUCCCUGUGUUUAAAACAAGAACCUCACAAAGAUUGUGGUGCCUUGCCAUGGAACACAUCCUCCAUCCACUCCAGUUCCCACGCUCCUCCUCAGCACCCACUUGCUGCUUCAUCACUUAAGUGACUCACCUGAGUCACCCAGGAAGACAUCUGAGCUUGCAGCCCUGAUGUAGGGUCAGGUAGGCUGCGGUCUGAGCACGAAGAGGCCUGAGACCUGCCCACCAUCCUCUGAAAGGCCUCAAGGGCUGUGAGCUUGGUCUGCCUCAGCCUUUCUCUGGUCUGUUUCCCAAGGAGUUCCAGGCUGGGAAAGAACAGAUUAAAGUCAGUCAAGGGAAGAUGUACACAGUGGCGCCUGGAGAGGCAUUAGAGGCUGCGCCUUCAUUGUCCUCUCUCUGUGAAGUCAGGAUGCAUUCAUUUCCUUGCAGCCGUCAGCAGUGACCCGCAUGGAGCACCACCAACAAGGGCAGCUCACCUGAGCCUCAGUGUUCAGAGUUUUGAUUGGGCCUCCAUUAGGAAGAAUUGUCACUUACACUCUACAAUAGAAUAGUUAGUAACAAAAAACGAUCAAUUAUAGACCACGACAGGAAAAGAUGUGCAUUGCAUCUCCUACAAGAACUUGACUGCCCCAGCAACUCAACCAAUGAGAAACCACUACUUCCCUGAACUCUCAAGUUUUCUCCAAUGGAUUUUCUUCAAGAAUAACCCCUACCCCGGUCUUUUUUUUCUCCAUAAAUUAACUUUCUUCUCCUUUGUUUAUUGGACUUACCUAUGGCUUUUGCUAUUGCUUGCUUGUCCUGAAUUGCAGUUCUGUGUUGUUCCCAAAUAAACCCAUUUUUGUUGGUAAAAUAA